rnacentral:rRNA from 1 species
UGGUCAAGUUAUUAAGGGUGCAGGGCGGAUGCCUUGGCACUAGGAGCCGAUGAAGGACGUGAUAAGCUGCGAUAAGCUUCGGGGAGUUGCACGUAAACUUUGAUCCGAAGAUUUCCGAAUGAGGAAACUCACUUAGAGUAAUGUCUAAGUAUCAUUAAGUGAAUACAUAGCUUAAUGAGGGGAACUCAGGGAACUGAAACAUCUA